CUGGCUUUCGGCCUUUUGGCUAAGAUCAAGUGUAGUAUCUGUUCUUAUCAGUUUAACAAGAUAUUUGUCAACAUUUAAGGUGCAGAACAUUUUUUUUGGGGGGGGGGUUGUGCAGGAAAAUCCUCAACACCAUGGUGAGGAGUGGCUAAUCUUUGUGUCCCACCCAGCAAGGCAUGAGCCAAUCCACGCCAGCUCUU